rnacentral:rRNA from 1 species
CGGGCAGGCGGUCUGUUAAGUCGUUUGUGAAAACCCGGGGCUCAACCCCGUGGAAUGCAGACGAUACUGGCAGACUAGAGAAUGGUAGAGGCUAGCGGAAUUCCUGGUGUAGCGGUGGAAUGCGUAGAUAUCAGGAAGAACACCUGUGGCGAAGGCGGCUAGCUGGGCCAUUUCUGACGCUGAUCCGCGAAAGCGUGGGGAGCAAACA